CGGCGGCGGUGGCGGCUUCAACAGCAGCUCUUGCCCUUAAGGAACAAUGAAACACAAAGAUGGUGCAGACCCAGGCCCUGCUUUGACUGGGAGAAAGAUGCAUUCAGUUGACUAAAACUUGAACAGGGCAGUUUACUUCUAUAGAAGGGUGCACCCUCACAGAUGGACCAAUGUGUCAGGAGAAUUCAGUCACACCCAAAGCAGGAGGUAAUAAGACACCGAAGUGAGGACUUCACAGGCUGCUUGGGAGAAGACAAUCAUCCGUGGGCUUGGGAAAGGGAGAAAUGCCUACUGAGUUUAGGGAAUUGCUUGCUGGAAGAAAUGAUGAUGCGGGAGGCCAGAUGCGCAAGAUGGACACUCGGCUCCUCCUUCGUCCCCGCCUCUCCUCGCUUCCAGGGUAGCAGCCUCAACAAGGGAAACUAUUGUUCCAGUGGAGGCUGCGAGGAUGUCGGUGAUUUACGCGCCGAGCUGUAGCUGCAAAAGGACAAGGGCAAGUGCCGGCCCGACCUAGGGCCCACCGGUCUCUGGCUUGCUCUUGUGAGUAGGUGCACCCUGCCCGCUUGUGGUGGCCUCAGGGGUAAGAAAUCAGGACCCACCCAGUGAGAGAAAUAACCCAAGCUGUCAGCAACGCGGAAAGAAAUGGGCUAGCAACCUCUUAAAGCAUCCUCACGUACUGCGGCGAUGACUCUGUGCACAGACCAAGGAAGGAGAGAGGCCGCGGAAGUCAGCCACAGCAUGUUCCGAAGAGAUGAUUGGAAGAUGGAAGUGGAGGGUUAAAUAAUGAAAUGCAGCUAACAUUUCGGAAAGUUUCUAAAAGUUGUACAACAUGCCCUACAGCUACUCUUUAAAUCUCCAAAUCAAAUGAGUUUCAGGUGGAGCCUCUGGGAGGUGAUGAGGUCAUGAGAGUGGAGCCUCAUGAAUGGGAUGAGCACUCCUACAAAAAGGAUUCCAGAGAGCUCGCUUGCUCCUUCCACAGUGUGAGGACACAGAGGGAAGGCUCUGUCUAUGAAUGAGAAAGUGGGUCCCCACCAGACAUUGAAUCUGCCGCAUCUUGAUACUGGACUUCCAGUCUCCAGAACUGUGGGCAAUAAAUGUCUGUUGUUUAUUACCUGUCCAGUAUCUUUGGUAUUUUGCUAUAGCAACCCAAAUGGACUAAGAAAACACCAGAGGCCAUACCUAAUAAAAAUAUUGACAUCACAAU
rnacentral:lncRNA from 10 species